AUUUUGGAGUGUAACAUAUUCAAAAUGUGUAUAUAUGUUUGUCUAUCAAAUUGUUAAAUGUUUGUUUCAAUUGGUUAUAUAUUGCAUAUUUAUGGGACUUUAUUUAUACAUGGACAUACAAGGGGUUGAAUACUUCUGUGUAACAUUGACUAUUUGGAUCUUGGACAUUAGGAGUUAAUAUGUAAAUUUGGGACCUGUAGAAGAACCAAUCAGACCUCAUGUAGACGUUACUGUUUUGCCCUUAAAUACCAUGAUUAAAGAUGGUGUGUAUUACAAAUCACGUCCUG